UCAAACUGUGUUGGGUAUUUAACUAAGAUGAGUAAACUUUACAACAUUUUUUAUUUUUUUUUUGUCAUGAAAGUAUCAUUCAUUGAUUAGGUUGUACCAUUGUCAAUAUUUUUUUGUCAACGUACCAAUGUCAAUUUGUAAAGUUGAUCACAAACAGACUAGAAACCAUCUACAAGAAAUAAGGAUUCAACUUUUGUGAAGUACUAUUGUCAAUUUG
rnacentral:lncRNA from 1 species